rnacentral:rRNA from 1 species
GUACACUCCUACGGGAGGCAGCAGUGGGGAAUAUUGAACAAUGGGCGCAAGCCUGAUCCAGCCAUGCCGCGUGAGUGAUGAAGGCCCUAGGGUUGUAAAGCUCUUUCACCGGUGAAGAUAAUGACGGUAACCGGAGAAGAAGCCCCGGCUAACUUCGUGCCAGCAGCCGCGGUAAUACGAAGGGGGCUAGCGUUGUUCGGAUUUACUGGGCGUAAAGCGCACGUAGGCGGACUAUUAAGUCAGGGGUGAAAUCCCGGGGCUCAACCCCGGAACUGCCUUUGAUACUGGUAGUCUUGAGUUCGAGAGAGGUGAGUGGAAUUCCGAGUGUAGAGGUGAAAUUCGUAGAUAUUCGGAGGAACACCAGUGGCGAAGGCGGCUCACUGGCUCGAUACUGACGCUGAGGUGCGAAAGCGUGGGGAGCAAACAGGAUUAGAAACCCGAGUAGUCCAAUG